ensembl:lncRNA
UUUUAAUCACAGUUUUCACAGUUAUCUAGAGGCCUAAGCUUUUGUCCUUAAUGGCUUUAUUUUUUUUUCCCAUUUUACAUGUUUUACUUUUAUACUUAAAAGUAGUUUUGAAACCAGUACUUUUAUACUUUUACUUAAAAAGUAAAAAAAACUUCAGUUGAUUCUUCAACUUCUACAGAAGUAUUUUAAACCCUAGUAUCUAUACUUCUACCUACAGAGUAAUGAAUGAAGAAAUACCUGAGUUAGGACUUUUAUAUUGUAAUGAGGCGCUGCGGUAUCCAGGGGGCGGAGUCUCGCUGGUUGCUAGGAGAUGAUCUAACAGCCGUUACUGUGUGUGUUUACAUCAGUUCAGCUACCAGCAGCUGAACCACGUUAUACUUUUAGCUUUAAAAUACUUUAAUAUAAACAUAAACCAAGCGGAAUAUAAGCUGAAUACACUCGGUUUCCUCUCUCCACACGCUAAGCGAAGAGCAGCGUGUAGAAAUGGCUAAACAAAGGCAGAAAGCGAUGGAGAGAGAGAGCGAGAGACAUACACUGAGAACCAGCUCUCUGCUGGAACGAGCCCAGGACGUCCUCAACCACUUACAGGUGCAAAAUACGUCUCACUGUGAAGCAGAGCAGGGUGCUAUCGGCUCUCCUCCAGACCCUCAGGAUCUAAACCUCAGGAAAACAGUCGCUGAAGACCUGGCGCCCUGCAGGGUCUCCAGCGCUUGGCGAAGAGAGACCCUCAGACUUCUAAACAGUCGGAUGGAGAGAGUGGAGAAGAGUGGAGAAAAGACGAGUGAAACAAGAACACAGCCGAGCUAUUCUGGAGAUGCUUAUAAAGAUGGUGAGAAUAAAGCUGGAGAAGAUACCCUGUCUGAUAAGGAGAACGAGAGCCUCACACCAGAGCGCCCUCUUGUGGUGAAGUCUAGGAAUACCUCUAUUCGAUGUUCUGUUGAGUCAUGUGACUCUCCAUUGGGUAGUCUUUCGCUGUGUGCCAGUCUUACGGGUUCCUACGCCCAGUUGCCGAGCCCCCUGCCCAGCUGCAACCCCAUCACCCACCGCUUACGAAAACCAGCUCUGGCAUCUUCAAGCAACAUCCUCAUCUCAGUCCCUGUCACUGAACUGGAGCUCAACAAGACAAUGCCAGUCCAGUCUGAAUCCCAUGCUCCUGAUUAUCCUCCCCCUACUGGAGGAGACUGGAACUGCAGUUGCCCUGAGUUAGGCAGUCAAACGCCGCCUAUGGCUAAGACCUCCACCCCCACUGACCAUCAUAUCACCACAAGACCCACCACACCCAUAGAGACCAGCACACUGAACCACAGUUCCCCGUUCCAGCGUUCCCCACCAGCUCCACUCAACCAGUCCUACGAUGUGGAGAGUCCAGCUCCCAACAUCCUCAGGCCCCACGUCGGAUCAGGUUCCAGACCCUUUACUGCACCCCUCCAACGCAGACUGGAGUUCACAGGGAGACCACAGCUCUCCCCAGAGGACCAGAAGACCCAGGGGCAUAAAACCAGUAAUACACUUCAGGAUAGAGGUCAGUACCAAUCCCAUGCAUUUUAUCUCCCCUGCAGUCCUAUCAGAAUCUCUCAGAAGCUUCAUGAUAGCUUU